rnacentral:lncRNA from 1 species
GUGAACUUAUAAAAGAGACCCCAGAGAGCUCCCUCACCUUUUCAUCCAGUGAGGACACAGGGAGAAGAUGGUCAUUAGCGACCAGGAAGAGGGUCCCCCCACCAGAACCCCAUGCUGGCACCUGAUCUCGACUUCCGGCCUCCAGAAAUCUUUGAGAAGCAGAUAGGCUUGAAUGAGCAUGGAAUGUAUCUAUUUAAAAAGCAGCUGGAAGUCUGUCAAGUGCAUUCUGGAAAUGGAUUCAGGCUAACAGAGUGUUCUGAAUAGAGACGCCUAAAACAAGAGCCAAAGACAUAGCAAUGGAGAACGUGGGUGGUACAGCCCUCCACCCUGGCGAGCAGCACAUUAGAAUCACGUAGGAGCUUAAAAAGUACUGACUGGCCUGGUCUUUUUCGGUGUGAAGGUGGGAUGCAGGCUUCCUGGGGUUAUCCUCUCGUACAGCCAGAGUUGAGAACCAUCUGAGUAGCGCUUGUCACACUUCUGGCCACAUCAGAAUCGUCUGAGGGACUUGUUCACUGCAGGUUGCUGGGUCCCAUCUCUAGCCUCUGAUCCAGUAGCCUGGGGUGGGGCACAGGAUGUCCUGCUGCUGGGGUCUGGGCAGCGCUAUGAGAACUGCUGACGUUGGAGCUCGAUCAGGUGGUCCCUCACUCCCUGACCCAGGGCAUUUGCUGCUUCCUGUCUCUGCCAUUCUUUUCUCAACCUGGGGCACUUGCUUUUCUCGCUAUGCUGCCCUGCCCUUUGCUGAGGCCUGGGCUAUCCCUGGCAGGGUGCAGAAAAAAAAUUUUUAAGUUACUUUUCUCAGCCCAAAGGAGACUGGAAUGCUUCACAAGGGAUUCUACUUGACAGGCAAUUGGACCACCCAAAUGGCAAACUAAAAGCAUAGAAGCGGACACCAGAGGCUCCUGGACCUGAGAUGUGGCCCUGGAAGUGACCAGAUGUGGUCUCAAGAGAUGGGGGCCCAGGGCUAGGAAUGCCGCCAUCCGGGGAGGCCCUAGAGCAGAGCAGAGCAGCUGUGGGCUGGUGCCAAGCUCACUCCUGCUUCUCUCUGCACGUCUCCCUCAUUCUUUUCUCUCUGAACUGUGACCCUUUUGGCCCCUCUGAGUACCAGGUGGGACAAGGUGACCCCUCAGCACUUGAGUUUACACCUUAGAUGUGUAGGUCCUCACAGAGGCCAACUUAUCUCCUUCUGGGACCAAAUUCCAAAUUCCUAAAGAAAAAACAAACCAAAAACGGAUAUGAUAAACCUAUCUCAGUGGUCAGCCCCUGGGGCGCAAACAUUCCCCUGAGUCAGGGAAGGGUGACUGUAACACAGGUAUCAUUAUGAUUUAGGUGUGGCAAGACUAGCAGGUCAGGGGUGCCUGCCAUUGAAAAGACUGUCAUACAGUUCCCAGGUGGAAGGGGUGUGCCAGGAGGGGCAGCCAGAAGGCAGAUGGAGGGAAGCUGCCUUUAUGGUGUUUCUGCUGGGAGGCACAGGUGCGGUGGAGGAAGCAGGCUUAGGAUUGGUUCGUGUGAAUGUCUUCAGUGGGCUCUGGUUAUCUGGUACCUGGCCCGGGGUGAUGAGGGUAGAUAGAGGCCCAGAAGGUGAGAGCCUAAUACCCAGAGCGGUCGGGGGGGUGGGUAGGCUCAGGGCUGGUUGGUUUGGGAAGCAUGUUUGUGGGCCCGUUGGUUACCGUCUCAAGGAAUGGGCUAGGCCUGGGUGUGGCUGUCCUUCUAGGAUCAGCAAGGCAGCAAAUAUCAAAGCACCAGAAUACACAAAGUAAAAGACUGCAUUAAUACAGGGUAGUUUACAAAGAAAUGGGAAAUUGUUGGUUCUGAGCUGGGUGGGGAUUGAAACGGUGUUCCCUGCAGAUCCAUUUAAAGUCUCUCUGUAAAUACGCGUUGGUGUGUAACUGUUCCUUGUCUCUAACCUCAGCCAGCCCCUCCCAUGCCAGGUGAGGGGUCUUCCCACCUCCCUUUUCCUCUCUGGGUGUCCCUCCAUUAUGAUCUGGGGACCAAGGCUGGCUGUAGCAGUGUGCCUCCAUGGCCUAGGGCGGUUGGCAAAUGCAAUUUCUUCGGCAGUGCUGGAUAAAGUGGGAUGAUGCAGUGACCACACAGAAUGUCAUUUCUGAUGAAAGCUGGCAUGCCAGCCCGUGACAGGACACAGAGGAGCGUGGAUUCCCCUUCAUGGUUGACUUCAGCCAAGGCCAUCAUCCCCGCUGCCAAAGCCUGCCCUGAUUGCCUGCCCUGGGGGAGAGAAGUGUUUUGAAGAUGACAAAUCAAAGUCAGGUCCUGCAUGGAGUUUGCGUGCCUGACAGCCUGGCUAGCACAGGAGGACAUGCAGGUGGAAUUUGUGCAAGCCUGUUAUUUUCUGUAACACAAUACACACUGAGAAGGCAAUGGGUACCUUGGACCCUGCAGGCCAAUUCAAGCACCAUCACUACUUUUCAGAAGUGUGGGGCAUAGAUGUCAACUGAGCCUAGCAAGAUGUCCUAUGUUACCAAGAGACUAUUAGAAAGCAGAGCAGGUCUCAAGAUUCAAUGAAACAAUUGCCUGGAAGCUGGAAGAUAAUAUGGAAGCUAGGGAUAUAAUAGAGUAUGUUGCUGGGAACGGUGGCUCCUGCCUGUAAUCGCAGCACUUUGGGAGGCUGAGGUAGGGGGGAUCACUUGAGCCCAGGAGUUGGAGGCCAGCCUGGGCAACACAGCAAGACCCCAUUUCUAUAAAUAAUUAAAAAAAAAAUUAGCUGGGUGUUGUGGUGCAUGCCUGUAUUCUUAACUACUCCAGAGGCUGAGGUGGGAGGAUGGCUUGAGUCCAGAAGUUCAAGGUUACAGUGAACUACGAUUGAGCCACACUGCAUUCCAGCUGGGUAACAGAGGGAGACUCUGUCUCUAAAAAAAAAAAUUAAAAAAAAAGUAGGGUGGGUGGUUGAGGGUUGUGCAGUGUGAGUGAGGGUGGCCAGAAAAACCAUUUCCGUGACAGUUACAAAGGCUGUGUGUGGAUGGUGACGCUGAGGUUUUAUCUUCAAGUGAGUUGUGCAUAUGAGGUUUGUUUGAUUCUAAAGCAUUUAUUUUCUAAAUGCAAACUUUUAGAAUAAAGUCUAGUUCCUGUUGCUCUAUUUUGGCAUAGGUUUUUAAUGUUUCAUAUACUUAGAACUUCAAAAUGGUGGUGGUUGGGGUCUGUCUUCUUACCUGCUGGAGGCCCUGCCAGGUGCUAGCCAGAAGCAGUCAUUAUUGCUUAGGCAGUCGUUGUGGGAGGCUGGGUGUGGCUCUCGCGGAGCCAGAAUGAAGGAUAGCAACUCAUUAACACACACACACCCACCCCUAAACACACACGUGCACCUACACACAGCUGGGAGUCCUAAGGAAGAGACCACACCUUUUUUGUUUUUUGCUUUUUUACCACCUUCAUUAUGAGUCUAAAGUCAAUUCAAUUAACCAGCUAUUUGAAAUUUUUACAUCUAACAGGAGCUGAGAAGAUCCAGUGGGUUAUUGGCUGGUGGGACUGAACUGACCUUCAUAUCUCAGCGAUGAGUCCUGUAGACUGCAGGCUCCACGGCAGUUGCAGCUCCCAGGGCUUCAGAUUGGAGCUGCCUGUGACAUGCAGAGGUGGAAGCACAGCCUCAGCUGUGGUGGACGGCAGCCUCUUUCAGCCCCCAGGUGCAUAACAAAGGCUGUCUUGAUUGUAUCUGUGAGAGUGCCAUGAUUUGGGGUUUUCUCUGUCGGUUUGGACCAGAUCAGAAAGCAAUUGGGACUAUUGUGUCUCUCAUGGAAACCCAAGGUGGGAGAAAGAAGCAGAAGGAGAUCCUGGAACCAAAAACACUUCAGCAAUGAAGACUGGAUUUUCUCUGAAAUGAACAACAAAAUAAAAUCUCUCCUGUAGAUCUCUAAAGC